UACGUAGGUUGCGAGCGUUGUCCGGAAUCACUGGGCGUAAAGCGCACGCAGGCGGCUUCGCAAGCCCAUGGUGAAAGCCCUCGGCCCAACCGAGGGAGGCCCAUGGGAACUGCGGGGCUCAGAAGACGGGAGAGGCGGAUGGAAUUUCCGGUGUAGCGGUAAAAUGCGUAGAUACCGGAAGGAACACCAGUGGCGAAAGCGAUCCGCUGGCCCGCUCUUGACGCUCAGGUGCGAAAGCUAGGGGAGCGAC
rnacentral:rRNA from 1 species